CGCGCUCGCUUGCAGCCUUUUAGGACCCUGCGCCCCGGUGCCCCGCUGGCCGCCGCUGUCGCUCGGGGUUCCAGGCACCCUGGUCCGGGAAGCCCUCGAAGGAAGCCCAGGGCCAUGUCCGUCGUGGGAAGACACGAGGAAAAUAGCGCCUGGAACACACGGACCCAAGUGGUCCCAGCCCCUGUCGGGAGGCAAUUCUGCCGAAACUCGGGGGGCACUGGCCCAGGACCGGGCCCAGGGUGACAGGGGCCUGUCCCAGGCACGGAGCAGCUGGACUCGAGCCUGGCAGGCGUAGAGGCUGCUGGCAGAGCCGCGCCUUCGCAGGCCUGAGAGUACUGUCCCCGUCGGCGCGCUCGCUGGAGUAACGGUGGCACUGGCUGUUGCCCGGGGCGUCUCCGGAGCACGUAUUGGGAGAGUGCCCUGAAUUCCUGGGGCAGCCCCAAGGACAGAAAUCCAGCCCUUAGCUGCGUCCUACUUGGGGUAAGGACGACUAGACUUCAGGGUCUCCGGGCUCGUGGCGGCUCCAGCCCCUUUCAUUUGUGGGCCCCCGCACUCAGCCACUUCCGUGAGGACGCUCGCAGAAGCCGCUUCGGGGAGGAAUCAAGGGAAGGCCUGGGUCUUACGGCGCCAGGUUCACAUUGGGGAAGUAUUUUGAAGACAUAGAAGGUGACCAGAAAGACUAGAAAAGACUUUUGGCUGCCAAGGGGCAAAAAGAAAUGACCAUUCAGGUUUUUGCCAAAAACAUCCUGAGCUUCUGCAUUGUGCUGAUCAAUUGCCUUCUUACGAUCCAGUUUUGAAUGGAGACCAGAUACAUCUUUUGUAGUUUCUUCAACUGUGGUAAGCAACUACAUAUGAUUUUUUAAAAUAAAUGUUGAUUAAGAUGGGUAUCACAAAAGCAGACUAAUGAAAAUAUCUGUGCUACAUACGGGUUUCUCCUGACAAGAACUAGUAAAUUUUGAGGCGUGUGGGUGGCUCAGUCAGUUAAGCAUCCAACUCUUGACUUCAGCUCAGGUCAUGAUCCCAUGGUUAGUGGGAACGAGACCUGUGUCGGGCUCCACACUGACAGCAAAGAGCCUGCUUGGGAUUCUCUCUUUCUCUCUCUCUCUUUCUCUCUGCCCUUCCCCAGCUGGUACUCUCUCUCUCAAAAUAAAUAAACUUAAAAAAAAAAAAAAAAAGAACUCAGUAAGUUUUAGACAUUUGUAUCAGAAUUCAUUUUCAAUUCACACUAAUUUAUCCAGUUGCCCAAGAAUUUCCCCUCCCCUAGCAACCUAGGCAAGGAAAAGGGAUUUUGCCAACCUAAUACAGUAAUUAUGCUCCCUCACAAUUUUUUUUCUAUUAUGUGUUACUAUUUCCUCUAACGUGCACCUAAUAAAAAAUUAAAUACUUUCAACAUCUCCCAUCAUUA